rnacentral:tRNA from 1 species
GCGUAGCUUAACACAAAGCAUAGCACUGAAAAUGCUAAGAUGAGUCCUAAAAAACCCCGCACGCA